rnacentral:rRNA from 1 species
UACAGGGGGGUGCAAACGUUGCUCGGAAUCAUUGGGCGUAAAGCGCACGUAGGCGGUUCGUUAUGUCGGAUGUGAAAGCCCUUGGCUUAACCGAGGAAGUGCAUCCGAAACUGGCGAGCUAGAGUACGAAAGAGGAUCGCGGAAUUCCCGGUGUAGAGGUGAAAUUCGUAGAUAUUGGGAAGAACACCGGUGGCGAAGGCGGCUCACUGGCUCGUAUCUGACGCUCAGGCGCGACAGCGUGGGGAUCAAACAGG